ACUUCUCUCCUAUUUUCACGUUAUCGUCGUUAUAGAUACAUGCAAGCAAUUUUUAGCGACAAAUUUGAAUUAAAAGGGAAUUUAAAUAGCUUAAAAUGCAUGAAAACGACAGCAACGGUGAUUCUUACCACGACAGGGACAUUCAUCGUCGAAACGAUGCGGAAGAAGCGGUUUUAGACGGCAGUCUUAUCAAACAAACAAGUAACGAUGAAAAAGGAAAGAUGUUCGUUGGUGGUUUAUCAUGGGACACUGAUGAAUUCAAACUAAAGGAAUACUUUGAACAAUUCGGUCAAGUUAGAGAUUGCAUUAUAAAACGAGAGCUUGAAACCGGGAGAUCAAGGGGUUUUGGUUUCAUAUUGUUCGCCGAUGCUUCAUCUGUUCAAAAAGUUGUAGACGCCAAAUCCCACUUGUUAGACGGGAGAAACAUCGACCCCAAGAAAGCAAAAGCUUUACGUAAAGACUCGAAGUUGUUUGUCGGGGGUUUGAACCCGGAUACCACACAAGAAACUAUUCAAGCUCAUUUUGAAAAGUUUGGGGAGGUUGACUCCAUAGAGCGUCCAGUUGACAGGAACACAGGGAAACACCGAGGAUUUUGUUUCAUCACAUUUUGCAAGGACGGCGUCAUACAUGAUAUUAUUGACAACAAUAGAUACCAAACGAUUGAUGGAAGACAGUGUGAAUGCAAGGACGGGGAUCCUAAGAAACAAAAUAAAGGCAACCAGAUGAAUAAUUAUGGAGGAUACGGGCAGCAGGGUUGGGGAGGAGGUGGAUGGGGGGGUUAUGGCUAUGCAGGGGGCUACUACGAUGCAGGGUCCAGUGGUUAUGGGGGUUAUGGAGGUUACAGCGGGGGUUACGACACAGGGUACGGGGGUUAUGGGGGCUAUGGAGGGUACGCACCUCAACCUUAUAGCGGGGCUGGAUAUGGGGAUUCAAGUCAAAUGCAAGGAGCUGCAGGUGUAGCUGGCAUGACCGGUGGUAAAAGUAAAACAGGAGGAAGAGGUGGCCAGAAUACAUACAAGCCAUAUUAAGAUGUAUUUUAAUAAAACCCAAUAUGUAGUGAAUAAAUUAUAUAUAAGACACUGUUACUGCAUUUAUUAAACCUGACUCCAAAGAAGUCACCACUGGAAGAAGCACCGACAGGGAUACUCUCUGCUAAAAAUCGAACACAUGGCGACAGAAACAAAGUCCUUCAGUUUUUAGCUUUUGAUUUUAAUUUUCGACGUUCAAUAUUGAGUGAAAUGACAACGUGUUGUUCAAAUACGAUUUGUAUUUUUGGGGAAUUGGUUUCCAUUAAGUUGUUCGUAACAAGUUCUUUACAAUUGUUACAAAUACAUUCAUUGUUUCGUUAAAAAA